AAGCACUCUGUAGACUGAAAUGUUCUGUACCAAGGGCACCGUGUCCAGCAGUGAGGCCACACCGGUUUGGGACGGCCAGAAGAUGGAAGUGCUCACACCUGACUUCUGGUCAGGCUGCUGCUCAGCAGGAGGCACGCAGAAGCUGCCGGGGAAAGCCUCUCCCAUCUGUGCGGCAAAAGGAGAGCAGCUGGCCCGAGAGUCCCUCUGCAUAAUGCAAUUACUCACAAUGUAGGGCUGGCAAGAUGAUCAAAGGAGGUGCGGUGUGACUCGCAAGCUGGAGAGACGGGAAAGCCUGCUCCUGAUGUGGAAAGCAUCAUUAUUAUCCCCCACUGCAGACAGCCACAGAGCGCUGGAGCUGGGAGGAACCUUCCAGAUCCCUCAGGGGCUGGACUGCUUAUCUCCACAGCAGCAGCCCCGCACCUCUGAGGCAACAAAGCUAGAAGCUGUCAUUUCAAGUGGAGAAACGCAGGCGCAGAAAAGAACCUGGAACUAGCAGCUGUUUUGGCAGCCAGAUGAGAUGCCCCCUGGGAGAGCCAUGCCUCUUGUGGAAAGGGCCUGCUCCUCCUCACCUUCAGGAAGUUCUACUAAAAUUCAGUAAUCUUACUAGGCAGUAAGAUUCAGGACAUAGGCAUGGGCAAGGACUUCAUGUCUAAAACACCAAAAGCAAUGGCAACAAAAGACAAAAUUGACAAAUGGGAUCUAAUUAAACUAAA
rnacentral:lncRNA from 1 species